GGGGGAUAUUGCACAAUGGAGGAAACUCUGAUGCAGCAACGCCGCGGGAAGGAAGACGGUCUUCGGAUUGUAAACUUUUGUACUUGGGGACGAUAAUGACGGUACCCAAGCAGCAAGCUCCGGCUAACUACGUGCCAGCAGCCGCGGUAAUACGUAGGGAGCAAGCGUUGUCCGGAUUUACUGGGUGUAAAGGGUGCGUAGGCGGCUCUGUAAGUCGGGCGUGAAAGGUGUGGGCUUAACUCACAAACUGCGUUCGAAACUGUGGAGCUUGAGUGAAGCAGAGGCAGGCGGAAUUCCCGGUGUAGCGGUGAAAUGCGUAGAGAUCGGGAGGAACACCAGUGGCGAAGGCGGCCUGCUGGGCUUUAACUGACGCUGAGGCACGAAAGCAUGGGUAGCAAACA
rnacentral:rRNA from 1 species